AGUGCCCGCCCCUCUCGGCCGCCCGACGCUCUCUGCUCGCGCUUGGGCUCGCGAUGGGGAAGAAGUCCCGGGCGGUACCCGGCCGUAGGCCCAUCCUGCAACUCUCUCCGCCGGGUCCUCGGGGCAGCACGCCGGGCCGGGACCCGGAGCCGGAACCCGACACUGAGCCGGACUCAACCGCGGCGGUCCCCAGCCAGCCCGCCCCGUCGGCGGCGACGACCACCACCACCGCGGUGACUGCCGCCGCGGCCUCGGACGACUCGCCUUCAGAAGGCAAGGAUGAACAGGAAGCGGUGCAGGAGGUUCCUAGAGUUGUUCAGAAUCCUCCAAAACCAGUCAUGACCACUAGACCCACAGCUGUUAAAGCAACAGGCGGUCUAUGCUUGCUUGGUGCUUAUGCUGACAGUGAUGACGAUGACAAUGAUGUUUCCGAAAAACUAGCACAAUCCAAAGAGACAAAUGGAAACCAGUCAACUGAUAUUGAUAGUACAUUGGCCAACUUCCUAGCGGAGAUCGAUGCCAUAACAGCUCCUCAGCCUGCAGCUCCUGUAGGAGCUUCUGCUCCACCUCCAACUCCACCUCGACCAGAGCCAAAGGAAGCAGCAACAUCUACCCUUUCUUCUUCUACUUCAAAUGGAACAGACUCCACCCAAACAUCUGGUUGGCAAUAUGAUACUCAGUGUUCACUGGCAGGAGUCGGAAUUGAGAUGGGCGAUUGGCAGGAAGUCUGGGAUGAGAACACGGGAUGUUAUUAUUAUUGGAAUACACAAACAAAUGAAGUGACUUGGGAGUUACCCCAAUAUCUUGCCACACAGGUACAGGGAUUACAGCAUUACCAGCCCAGUUCUGUGCCAGGUGCUGAAACUAGUUUUGUGGUAAAUACAGACAUAUAUUCUAAGGAGAAAACGAUUUCUGUUUCCAGUAGUAAAAGUGGACCAGUCAUAGCCAAGCGAGAAGUUAAAAAGGAAGUAAAUGAAGGAAUUCAGGCUCUCUCAAAUAGUGAGGAGGAGAAGAAAGGGGUGGCAGCAUCGCUGCUUGCUCCUUUAUUGCCUGAGGGAAUAAAAGAAGAAGAAGAGAGAUGGAGAAGAAAAGUAAUUUGUAAAGAGGAGCCAGUUUCAGAAGUAAAAGAAACAAGUACAACAGUAGAAGAAGCAACAACAAUAGUAAAGCCACAGGAAAUUAUGUUGGACAAUAUAGAAGACCCUUCUCAGGAGGAUCUUUGCAGUGUUGUCCAAUCUGGAGAAAGUGAGGAGGAAGAGGAACAAGAUACCCUUGAACUGGAGCUAGUUUUGGAAAGGAAAAAAGCAGAGUUGCGAGCCUUGGAGGAAGGAGAUGGUAGUGUGUCAGGGUCUAGUCCACGUUCUGAUAUCAGCCAGCCAGCAUCUCAAGAUGGAAUGCGUAGGCUUAUGUCUAAAAGAGGAAAAUGGAAGAUGUUUGUUCGAGCUACCAGUCCAGAAUCUACCAGUAGGAGUUCUAGUAAAACUGGACGAGAUACUCCAGAAAAUGGAGAAACUGCAAUUGGUGCUGAAAAUUCAGAAAAAAUAGAUGAGAAUUCAGAUAAAGAGAUGGAAGUAGAAGAAUCUCCAGAGAAAAUAAAAGUACAGACAACACCAAAAGUAGAAGAAGAACAGGAUUUGAAAUUUCAGAUUGGAGAACUGGCAAAUACCCUGACAAGUAAAUUCGAGUUUCUAGGCAUUAAUAGACAAUCCAUCUCCAACUUUCAUGUGCUGCUCUUACAGACUGAGACUCGAAUUGCAGACUGGCGGGAAGGGGCUCUUAAUGGAAACUACCUUAAACGAAAACUUCAGGAUGCAGCAGAACAACUAAAACAGUAUGAAAUAAACGCCACUCCUAAAGGCUGGUCCUGCCACUGGGACAGGUACGCACUCUUCUCCCCUUUUCACCUUUCACCUUUGACAUCUCAGACAUGAUUUGUGAUCACCACCAUCUGACGACAUGACAGCCUGUCUGGAGACUGAGAGCAGCUGCAGUUAGCGGUGCUGGGCAGGCAAAGCACCGCAAGCACAAAGUUUGGCCAGCCACACAUUGGAGAAACAAAAGCAAUGUUUAAAGUGUUCCAUGUAACGGAUUUUUUCCCAAGAUAUGGACAAAGCUGGUUUUUACUCUCCAGAGUGUUGCACGGAGUAGGGCGGGCUUGGGGGUUAAGCGCAUGCGAGAGCUCUGUGCGCUUUACAGGACCUCUGGAAGCAACUACUCCUGAUUAACCUCGGUGAAGUUAAGGAAAACUUCGUGGCUGAAGAUGUGAAUGAAGAACAAGAUUACUAUCCUCUGCCAGCAGCUCCCAGAUCCUCUCCCUCUCUUUAGCUUUCACUGUGUUUGAUAUCAAGAAUAUGAAAUGUGAAUUCCACGGUCCAAGAGGGGAAGAGUCACCUUUCACAAACUUCGUUGUUCUCUUCUUUGGAAGGGAAAUUAGUGUUCUAGGCGAUUGAGUCCCUUCAUUAAUGAAACUUGAAACCCUGUUAUGCAUUGGCAAAUCACAAAAAAAGAGAAAAGUGUUUUCUAAGUCUCAUCUGUUGGAGUGAGAGGGUUCAGGGCUGUAUUCACAGAGUUGCUGGCAGUGCAAAUAGCUUUGAAUUAUCCUUGGUUCUCCAUUCUCAAUUGUCAAAGCUCUUUGUUGCCUUUGUGAAUAGCAGUCCAUUAAGAGGUUCGUCCCUGUGAAAGCAGACUGCUGUCCUGGGACAGGACCAAAUGGAAGUGUCUUUGUAGGAGAACGGGUUUUAAAACAUGUGUUUUCUUUCUUGUAAUUUAGGGAUCAUAGACGGUAUUUCUAUGUAAACGAACAGUCGGGCGAGUCUCAGUGGGAGUUUCCAGAUGGUGAAGAGGAAGAAGAAGAAAGCCAAGCACAAGAAAAUAGAGAUGAGACUCUUGCCAAACAGACCUUGAAAGACAAAACUGGCACUGAUUCAAAUUCAACAGAAUCCUCUGAAACUUCCACAGGUGAGACAAUUUACCUUGUACUAAUUCAGCCAAAAUGACUUUAGAGGAAAAAUCUUAUUAAUUUACAUUAUUAAAAGAUUUUAUGUCAUAAUAAUAUAAGCUUCUGAUUGAGAAUAGUGGUGUGAACUAAAACAAGGAAUGCAUGAGUUAUUAUGGUUGGAAAUCAGCAUACUAUUGUUAUCACGUGUAAAACUGUGCCCCAAAGUGAAAAGAUAGGCUAACAGAUUUUGAUUUUAAAAAAUUGUUUUAUAACCAUUCUAUCAUGCCACUGACUAAGCUGUGGGUCUCCAAAAAUAGGAAUGCUUGUGCUGAGGAACUAGAUAGUUGAACUGUCAAUAUAUGUGGCAUGCUGAGAUUUGUUAUACAUUUCUAUACAACACUUAGUCUGUUCAUAUUGCAACCUCAUUUCUCACCUCCACUAAUCUUACAAAAAGCGUGGUUGGUACAAAUCAAAAUGAUAUGAAGAAAUGCCAUUAGUACUUGUUUCAGAGAAGCAAAAUAAUUGAUCAUGAAAAAUCACCAGCAAUCUUCUGGUCUAAAACAAUUGGCAAUAGGAUGUCUCAUUCCAUUUUUAAGGUACUCUUGGAAGAAUUUAGUUUAGUUACAUACAUUUUUUAAAAGAUAGGCUUUCAUGCUCCUCAGUUCCUUUAGUUUUUAAAAAGUUUCCAAUGUGUAAAGAAACUUCCACCUGUUAAUCUUAAGAAUUGGUAGCUAUUUGUUAAACUGAUGGCAUAUGAAGGCAAGAGUCUAUGAGUCGUUUCUAAAGUAAUAGAUCUUUGAAAAUUUUAAAAAGUGAAAUUUGUCAAUAACAGAGUUAAGAGCUGAAUUCUUUUGUCUAAAACUUAUCGAAAUUGAUGCUUGUACUCUACUGGCUCCCUGAUGAUAGUAGAAAAGCACUAGUAAUGUACCAAAUGAAACUGGUUGUGUACCAGAUGAUUUUGUUAACUUCUUAAAUAGCCUAGAAAUCGUCAGCAGGUCACAUACAACUGCAGUGAUAAUUUCAGAACAUAGCAAAAGGCUGAUUUUAUUCUACUUCACAUUUUAGAAGUGCAUUUUCUCAAGUUACAGGGCAUUUCACUUCCCUUUUACAUGAAGAGAUUUUCUUUUGAAUAUUUUUCCUCUCUUUUGGUAGCAGUGAUAGACAUGACUAAUAAUAUAUUGGUUCUUUUUGUUUGCUUUUUAGCAGUUAAUGAACUGAAGAGGCUUGAUCGUAGUUCUGGAUAGGUGGCUCCACUCCUGACCACUGUCAACAUCCCUUAUAUGUUCCAAAGUUGAAAAUUCCACUGUUACCAAUUCUGAAUGUUCUGUGAACACUUUAGAUGAGUAUUAAGCUGUUUUCUCCCUUUAUGACACACAUAGUUGAUACUGUCUGGUAAAAGGAGGCUCUUGAGCCAUUCCUAUUUAAUUAAAACAGAACUAGUUGUAGUGUAGGAAAAAGCCACUGAUAAAACAGGUUAUAUUCUUAAGCCUCUCUUUAUUGAGAACCCCUAGAAUUGCAGGAUAAACUUGAUCGAAGUAAAAUCCAAAUCUUAAACUAAGUUCUGUGAGAUUUAAGAGCAAUAAUCAACAGUUCUAAGCCUAAUAAAGAGAGCUCUUAAUCAGCUCAGUGGUGGUUAAAACCAGCUAUCUUUUAAAGAAGAGAAAAAACAAAACACAGCAAUGCCCUGUCUCUUCAGAAAAUUGUUUUAAAAAGUUAGCCAGGCAUAGUUAGUGGCCCACGCCUGUAGUCCGAGCUGUUUGGGAGGUUGAGGUGGGAAGAUUGGUUGAGCCCAAGAUUUUGAGGCUGCAGUAAGCCAUAAUUGUACCACUGCACUCCAGCCUGAGCGACAGAGAACAAGACCCUGUCUCAAAAAUAAAGUGGGGGAAGGGGUGCAAAAUUACACUGUGAGAAGCCAAGAAGUUUCAAAGUUCUAUUUAUUUUUCUAAGUCAUUUUUAAUCAUUAUUUGUUGUUUCAGUGUUUGAAUUUAACAUUAUGUUUUUAAAGAUGGAGUGGAUUCUAAAGAUGAGUUGGGUUCAAGAUAUCCAACAUAUCUUUUAUAUUGGGCUUAUGUCACUUAGGUGAAGUUGAGCUCCUUUUUCUUUUUAAUCUCCAUGGAACAAUUUGUAUAAUUUCUUGAUUUAAAUUGCUAAACUGAGCUCUUCAUUCAAAAUACUAAACAAUAAUUUCUCUUUGGGGGGAAAAUUAAGGAAGGCUUUCUAUACAUAGAAAUAAAGAUGCCUAGGCCGGGUGCAGUGGCUCAUGCCUGUAAUCCCAAUACUUUGGGGGGCUGAGGCGGGUGGAUCACCUGAGGUCAAGAGUUCAAGACCAGCCUGGGCAACAUGGUGAAACCCUGCCUCUACUAAAAGUACAAAAAUUAGCUGGGCGUGGUGGCAGCUGCCUGUAAUCCCAGCUACUCGGAGGCUGAGGCACGAGAAUCACUUGAACCUGGGAGGCGAAGGUUGCAGUGAACCAAGAUCAUGCCAUUGCACUCCAGCCUGGGCGACAGAGCAAAACUCUUUAUCUAAAAAAAAAAAAAAAAAAAAAGACGCCUACAGAAGCAAGGUUCUUAGGUGCAGUGACUCAUGCCUGUAAUUCCAGCACUUUGGGAGUUUGAGGCAAGAGGAUCACUUGAGCUCAGGAAUUCAAAACCAGCCUGGGCAAUAUGGCAAGACCCCAUCUUUGCAGAAUAUUAGCCUAGCUUGGUAGCACGAGUAUGUGGUCCUAGCUACUUGGAAGGCUGAGGUGGGAAGGAUCACUUGAGCCUGGUAGGUUGAAGCUGCAGUGAGCUAUAUUCACACCAUUGCACUCUAGCUUGAACAACAAAGUGAGAUCCUGUCUCAAAAAGAAAAAGGAAAAAUUACAGCUCACGGCUGUAAUCCCAGCACUUUGGGAGGCCAAGGCGCGCAGAUCACUUGAGGUCAGGAGUUUGAGACCAGCCAACAUGGUAUCACCCUGUCUCUACUAAAAAUACAAAAAUUAGCCAGGUGUCGUGGCGGGUGCCUGUAAUCCCAGCUACUCGGGAGGCUGAGGCAGGAGAAUCGCUUGAACCCAGGAGGCAGAGAUUACAGUGAACCAAGAUGACACCUCUGCACUCCAGCCUGGGCAACAGGCUUAAAGACUCCGUCUUAAAAAAAAAUUAAGAAUUUGUAUUCUCAUAACAUAUUCAGUUUUAAGCUUGUAGCUUUUAAAUCUUUGAGCACGUAAUAAAAGCUGCGUAGGCCAAGUGUGGUGGCUCAUGCUUGUAAUCCCAGCACUUUGGGAGGCUGAGGCAGGAGGAUCACCUGAGGUCGGGAGUUCAAGAGCAGCUUACCCAAUAUGUAGAAACCCCGCCUCUACUAAAAAUACAAAAUUAGCCAGGCGUGGUCGCAUGCCUGUAAUCCUAGCUACUCGGGAGGCUGAGGCAGGAGAAUCAUUGAACCCAGGAGGCGGAGGUUGUGGUGGGCCAAUAUCACACCAUUGCACUCCAACCUGGGCAACAAGAGCAAGAGUCCAUCUAAAAAAAGAGCUGUAUAUACCACUUUAAUCUGUCCUUGGGCUUCAGACUUAAAUAUUCUCUUAAACAGCAAAAAUACUAACUAAGUUAAAUUUAAAAGCAAGGAGAAGCAUCAUUGUAAUACGACAUCCAUGUGUAUUCAAACUAGAAUUUUCUGAUGGUCUUCGUAAGAUAAAGGAGAUAAUUGUCAUUUCUAUGACACAGCUUUUAUAAUUUGAAUAAACUUAGUUGGAGAUUGGA